CAGCAGCCACGGGAAUACAGAGGGUGCGAGCGUUAAUCGGAUUUACUGGGCGUAAAGCGUUCGUAGGCGGCUUCUUAAGUCGGAUGUUAAAUCCCUGAGCUUAACUUAGGAAUUGCAUUCGAUACUGGGAAGCUAGAGUAUGGGAGAGGAUGGUAGAAUUCCAGGUGUAGCGGUGAAAUUCGUAGAGAUCUGGAGGAAUACCGAUGGCGAAGGCAGCCAUCUGGCCUAAUACUGACGCUGAGGUACGAAAGCAUGGGGAGCAAACAGGAUUAGAUACCCCAGUAGUCCCUGUCUCUUAUAA
rnacentral:rRNA from 1 species